GGUUCCUCUUCAAGAUCAUCAGCAAAAGAGUAUUUCCUGAUUUCCUUUUAAUUGGUGACAACAAAGAUUCACUCCGAGACUGUUUAUGAUGAUUGUUUUGUUGAUGGCUUCCCUAAUUAUAUUGUUUGAGCAGAGGUGCUGAAGGGAGGCCCUGGAUAUACUUUUCAGCUUUCAAGAAGAAUACCUCACCAAUGCUGGUAUAGCCAUUCCAAAGGUUCUGCAAUGUUACAACCUAAUGUGUAACCCAUGUGUAACUCGUGCAACAACAUGAGCAUUACUGCAUAAACUACACAGAGGAGGUGAUGGUUAAUUAUGUGGUGGAGCAAAAGGUGACAAUGAUAGGGCCUCUGUUUAAGAACGAGAAAUGUGUGCCAGUAUCCACCUGAACCUAAAGGAAAUGGAUCAUCUGAAUUCUGAACUCUAAAGGGACAAAGCUUGAUUGUUUGUUGCACUCUUGACCAUGUGGUGGAUUUAUUUUGUGUUCAGUGGGCUGUGCUACAGAAUUACAAUCUGGAAAACACCUGCAACUUAAAAAAAAGCACAACAGCUCCACCCUUGUGUAUUUGAUAGAAGCAAUGAGCAGAAAAUUGUUUCUCUGUGUCUAGAGCAAUACCAAAAUUUAGAAAGUUACUUAGAAAAAGAAAUUCAUUACCAUCACUGUGCCAAAACAGUAAUGAAUUACCAUUAUAAUUGUAAUGUUCAGAAGUAACACUUUGUUUUCCUGCUUCUAAGAAAUAACUAAAAUAAAUAUUUAAAAACAAACAUCUGAAUGCAACAGGGCACCAGACUGUACUACAAUACAAACUCUUCUCCCAACUCUGUCACUCAGUGCCCCAAUAAUUACAAUAGCAGCAACAUGAGGUACAGUUGGAGUCAGGACUUGAAUCAUGUGAUCUUCCUCCUCCACUCAUAACUUCAAAGUAACUUACAGUUACUGCAGAAGGAAUGAAGUUGCCCUAAUUAAGUUACAGCUGUAAUGUAAUGUAACUCAAGUAAUGUAAUUUUUCUUUUGUUAUUGGGAAGAAUAUUUAAUUUAAAUUAAGAUAAUCGUCUAGAUCCUGUAUGGCUAUGAUCUGUCUCGCAAUCAGACCCACCCAAAACCACUUUAAAAUCCACCCAGCUGCACUGAGAACGAAAGUCUGCAGUGAUGGUGAGUGGAGUGCUGAAGGAUCAUGCAUCCAGCUUUUUUCUGCCAGUGAUCAGUGUUGUGCUUAACACAUGCAGGGGCUCUUCCUGUGUCCUGUUCGGCCAGUGAUGGGUGGGAUGCCAACAAGUUCUGGCAGGACAGGGCUGGAAGUGUUAUCCUUCUGGAACUUGCUUGCCAGCAUCAGACAGCUCUGUUCUAAUGUUAAGAUGGCUAGAUUUUAAGGUGGGCUUCAGGGGCCAAUUACAAUCAUGGCAAUGGUACCACAAUUGUAAACCUGAAUAGGAAUCAGUUACAAGGCUGUAAGUCUAAUCUAUGACAUCAUAAUUCACUAAAGGAUGCCAGACAUCAUUUGUAAUUACUUCUGUCCAAACACUAAGUAAUUCUAGUUAUACUGUAUUCCAUAUGCUAAGAAAUUAGAUGUGUAUUUAACCAGUGCUUUUAUUUGACUGUUCUAUGAACUAAUAUAGUCAAGAAGAAAAUAAGGAAAGCUUCUUGUCAUCUCAUAUUUUAAUUUGCAUUCUAGUGAAGAAGCUUUGUACUGAAAUCUUGUUUGGGAUGCAAGAAAAUUAUAAAGCACGACUGCUGCUAACUGUUUUUACUAUAAUCCUGGUUAUUGAAAUUUGAGGUAUCCACUGUUCUGCAGUCUUGAUACCUGGCUUCGUUUGCAGCCACAUAAUCUAUUACUUCCCUCAGCAUACAUCUUAGCAGGAAGUUCCAAAUGUUAGUUACAUGCACGAAAUAACAUCGCGCACACAAAAACACACACAUCUGUUUUUAAAUUAAAUAUUCUGGGUUUUAAAAAAUUGCAUAGUGAAGGCAACAAUUUCUGUUUAAUGUCAGGUUGCUGAACAGUGUAUGUAUGUAUGUAUGUGUGUAUGUAUAUAUUCAGAUGUAAAGCUCAUAGGCUUCUCUCUCUGGAAAAUGAUUUAUCAGGAUCCUAUGAUAUAAAACCACAGCUCAGGAAACACAAGAAAUUUAAAAUGAGACAGAGCAAACCUAAUCUCAUAUAUCUGAUAGGACAUGGGGAGACUACCCUUCUAUUUAGAAAAAUACAUUCUCAGAAAGAUGAGGCUACUUGACACAAAACCUGGUUGAAUUUGAGAAGGGGGGAAUUACAUACCUAUUUUAUCCUUAUCUCAUUGUAUUUACAAAAUUUGUGAUGUAAAUAUGAACUUUGAAAACUUUCAUAGAUGGCCCAUCACUUUUCAGGGCUCUGUUUAUUUGUUCAGAGAGAGGGAAUAAUGUACACUAGGUAGUAACAUGAGAAGCUAGACAUAGUAAAGAAGGAAAUGGAACACAUGAAUAUAGCAAUACGAGGAGUGAGUGAGUUAAAAUGGACAGUAAUGGGUCACUUUGACUCAGACAUACAGUAAUCUAUUCAGGAAAUGAAAAAAAAAACAAGAAGAAAUCAGGUGACUUUCAUUCUAAGGAAAGAUAUAGCUAGAGCACUCAAAGGAUACAACUUAAAGUCAGACCAUAUAUUAUCAAUAAAGCUUCAGGGUAAACCAUCACAAUAAUCCAGGUAUAUGCACCAACCACAGAUGCAGAUGAAGAGGAAAUUGAGAGAUCCUAUAUCCAGGAAGAAAUUGACAACACACUAUCACAAGAUUUAAAACUAAUCAUUGGAGAUUUGAAUACCAAAGUUGGCAACAAAGAAGGAUAAAAACAGUAGGAAGAUUUGGAUUAGAAACAAAAACUAACGAGGGAGAAUGUUUGAUAGAAUUCUGUGAGGCCAGUAAUAUAUUCAUUGCAAAUACCUGCUUCAUACAACCAGAUAAGAGGCUAUACACCUGGUCAUCACCAGAUGUUAAACACAAAAACCAGAUAGACUACAUAAUUGGAAGUAGAAGAUGGAGAAACUCUAUCCUUGUGGCCAAAACCAGACAAGAAGUUGAUUGUGACACAGACCACAAACUGCUCAUAACAAAAAUCAGAGUUCAGCUAAAGAAGAAAGCAAAAACCAUUAUUAUACCAAAGUAUGACCUGAAUAACAUUUCAGAUGAAAUCAAGAACAAUGUAAGAAACAGAUUUGAACUACUGAGUAUAAUCGACCAGGAACCUGAAGAACUAUGGACAUAAGUCAAAGACAUAAUUAAGGACAAAUGCAAGAAAACACUAACAGUGGCCAAAAAGAAAGAUAAGAAACAAUGGGUGAUAGAGGACACAUUUUGUGUUUCAGAAGAAAAGCAAAAGUAAAGGGAGAAAGGAACAAAGCCAGAAGUAUGAAUACAACUGUCCAACGACUGACAUGCAGGGAUAAGGUGAAAUACUACUAUGACCAAUGCAGAGAUAUAGAAGACAACAACAAAAAGGGUAAAAUGAGAGACUUCUAUCAAAAAAUCCAAGAAAUUAAAGCCAAGUUCAAACCAAGGGUAGGGAUGCUCUAUGGAGAAAAAAAAGAACAUUAUACAGGAACAAGAAGGAAUAAAAAGACUCUGGAGGCAAUACACAGAAGAG